rnacentral:lncRNA from 1 species
CUAUCAUCCUAACCGCACAUCCUUUCAUCCAACGGCCAAAAAUUCAAUAAUACCAAGGGCUUGGUACUAUUGAUAGUAUAGUAGCAUAAUUCUCUCUCUCUCUCUCUAUAUAUAUAUAUAUAUAAUUGAGCUCCUAUGCUCUUAAAAGUACCAAGUCAUUGGUACUUAUAAGUUUUUGGCUCUUGAAUUAAGGGAUGUGCGGUUAAGAUGAUGUGGAACCCCUAGGGUUGAGUGGGUGGUUGGUUGAAUAGUAUAAUCUAACGUAUAAAAAUGAUCAAAGGUAUAGAUCUAACGGUAAAAAAUUUACAAGCACCCAAAAGGAUCCACAUCAUCCUAACCGCACAUUUUUUAAUCCAAUGGCCAAAAAUCUAUAAAUACCAAUAAUGUGAUACUUUUAAAAGUAUAGAAGCUCAAUUCAUAUAUAUGUAUAAUAUUUUCGUAGAAGAGCUGCUGUUUCCUUUGAGGUGAUUCCCAUGUAUGUCGCUUAAUUUAUCUAGGCUAAAAUAUAGAAAAUAAUUCUAGAAUUUUGGCAAUUAUUGUUUUGCUUUUAAGUAGUUUUAAUAAUGAAGAUUCAGCGAUCGGCUCCGUUAAAUAUGAUUUACAGUUUUGAAACUAUUUAAAAACUAAAUUUUAUAAUUUUUUAACUUUGUUUACCUAAUGAACAAAUAGCCUCAAAAUAAACAACUAAAAAUAAAAAUCUCAUAAAAAAUAGUGAUAAAAAACUUGAAUUUCAAAUUGAAAAUAUUGAUUUUAGUCUCAAUGGUAAGUAAAAUUUUCUAUUAAAAGAUUAUCUAAUUUGAAUUGUUCUACAUCGUUGAACUUAUAAACAUACUACAUCGGCCAUUAAAAUAGUAAUUUUUAAGACCAUUUGAUCACUUGACAAAUAAUGUUGAAAAAAAGUUAUGAUAUUUAAUUACUAUAUAUAUAUAUAUAUAUAUAUAUAUAUAUAUAU